rnacentral:rRNA from 1 species
AACUAUGGCCAUGCCACCCUGAACGCGCCCAAUCUCGUCUGAUCUCGGAAGCUAAGCAGGGUUGGGCCUGGUUAGUACUUGAAUGGGAGACCACCAAGGAAUACUAGGUGCACUAAAAA